GGAAUCUUCCACAAUGGGCGAAAGCCUGAUGGAGCAACGCCGCGUGGGCGAAGAAGUAUUUCGGUAUGUAAAGCCCUACCAGCAGGGAAGAAGAAAUGACGGUACCUGAGUAAGAAGCACCGGCUAACUACGUGCCAGCAGCCGCGGUAAUACGUAGGGGGCAAGCGUUAUCCGGAUUUACUGGGUGUAAAGGGAGCGUAGACGGCGAUGCAAGUCUGAAGUGAAAGCCCGGGGCUCAACCCCGGGACUGCUUUGGAAACUGUAUGGCUAGAGUGCUGGAGAGGCAAGCGGAAUUCCUAGUGUAGCGGUGAAAUGCGUAGAUAUUAGGAAGAACACCAGUGGCGAAGGCGGCUUGCUGGACAGUAACUGACGUUGAGGCUCGAAAGCGUGGGGAGCAAACAG
rnacentral:rRNA from 1 species